GAUGAAGAACGUAGCGAAAUGCGAUAAGUAAUGUGAAUUGCAGAAUUCAGUGAAUCAUCGAGUCUUUGAACGCACAUUGCGCCCCCUGGUAUUCCGGGGGGCAUGCCUGUCCGAGCGUCAUUGCUGCCCUCAAGCACGGCUUGUGUGUUGGGCCCCCGUCCCCGGUUUCCCCCGGGGACGGGCCCGAAAGGCAGCGGCGGCACCGCGUCCGGUCCUCGAGCGUAUGGGGCUUUGUCACCCGCUCUGUAGGCCCGGACGGCGCCAGCCGACACCCAACUUUAUUUCUAAGGUUGACCUCGGAUCAGGUAGGGAUACCCGCUGAACUUAAGCAUAUCAAUAAGCGGAGGA
rnacentral:misc_RNA from 1 species